UACGAAGGGGGCGAGCGUUGUUCGGAUUUACUGGGCGUAAAGGGCGCGCAGGCGGUUCUGUUUGUCGAGUGUGAAAGCCCCGGGCUCAACCUGGGAACUGCGCUCGAAACGGCGGAACUAGAGUUCGGGAGAGGAGAGUGGAAUUCCCAGUGUAGAGGUGAAAUUCGUAGAUAUCGUGAGGAACACCAGAGGCGAAGGCGGUUUCCUGGACAGUUACUGACGCUCAGGCACGAAAGCGUGGGGAGCAAAAGGG
rnacentral:rRNA from 1 species